rnacentral:rRNA from 1 species
GAUGAACGCUGGCGGCGUGCCUAAUACAUGCAAGUCGAGCGAACAGACGAGGAGCUUGCUCCUCUGACGUUAUCGGCGGACGGGUGAGUAACACGUGGAUAACCUACCUAUAAGACUGGGAUAACUUCGGGAAACCGGAGCUAAUACCGGAUAAUAUAUUGAACCGCAUGGUUCAAUAGUGAAAGACGGUUUUGCUGUCACUUAUAGAUGGAUCCGCGCCGCAUUAGCUAGUUGGUAAGGUAACGGCUUACCAAGGCAACGAUGCGUAGCCGACCUGAGAGGGUGAUCGGACACACUGGAACUGAGAAACGGUCCAGACUCCUACGGGAGGCAGCAGUAGGGAAUCUUCCGCAAUGGGCGAAAGCCUGACGGAGCAACGCCGCGUGAGUGAUGAAGGUCUUCGGAUCGUAAAACUCUGUUAUUAGGGAAGAACAAAUGUGUAAGUAACUAUGCACGUCUUGACGGUACCUAAUCAGAAAGCCACGGCUAACUACGUG